CUGUACAGUUUGGUCAAUAUCACGUUUUUCUGAGUGCCCUCAGGAUCAUAGAAGCAGGAGAAGCGUUGAUACUUCCGGAAGUUUUCCAUCACAACGUUCACCAUUGACAUGGAUUCCUCGUAAUUCUUGCCGCACUUGGAAUCAUCCAGGCAGCACCCGAAGCGUGAGAACCGCACACCUCUGAGCCCUGGCACCACCAUAACACGGACAUGGUAGUACACGCGGAAGAGGUUCCUCUUCUACUGUCUGCAAAAUGGCAGGUGAGCAACAUCAACAACACUGCAAACCCUCCACUCCUUUAUGCUGAACCACCAGCUUUCACUCAACCUUGGAAAGAAGCACUGUGUGAUGACAGACCAACCAUAUCACUUACAGCCACCAGAAGGGAUGAAGGAAUACAGUCGAGGCAGAUGGAAAAUCAUACAUAAGCACAGUAAAAAUAAAAACAAAAAGAAGUUUAAUCACAAA